AUGAAUGACAGGCCUCCCCAUCUAUGUCAAAACUGCCAACAACGUUUCCACCCAUGAUGUGCCUCAAUACCUCCACCACAGCUGUUUGCUCCCGAAGCCUUCUCACCUAUCCCACAGUGGCGUAAUUGGCAAGAUUUCUACUGGCAGAGAUGAUGGAGCCAGUGAACUUGCUGACCAUGGUUGACAGCCUACAGCAACUCACAAACCAGCAAAGUGAAAAGACAGAUGUAUCUGAAACUAGCCUUUGUGCUAUGUAAGUCAGAUCAUUGAAGGAUUCAGAACACCCUAUCUUGGACCAAGAGCCAAGUGGUGGAAAGAGAGGCCGUAGCUACCAAAUGGACUAUCACCCAACUGAGAUGCUACAUUUUGAGGCCAAAAGUUCACCUUUGUUACUGGCCAUGCCACCUUGCAAUGUAUGACUUCUCAGAAAUAAUGAAACCCCAAGUCCCCUAUUGGUUUUUGGUCUUUUAGUCUUAUUAAUAUAGGGUUGAAUGCUGGAAAAAGCAUUCUUUAUGCCAACAUGGAUGCUCUUUCUUGACUCUAGGACCUCACAACUGGGUCUGAUCUUGUCAUUAUUGUUGCACACACAAACUUGUACCAUCUUCAGUGUACAGCAGGAUAGUAUUGGGAAGUCGAAUGGUUGUUCACACUAAUGCCAUUUUCAGCUCUGCCUCUGGCUCCAUCCCUCCUGCUUUUUGAGUGUAGUUCUGCAUGAAGGAACUAGAAUAUUGGUCAUCUUCAAUAAUUCAUCAAGAUUAAACAGGGUCUCUAGGUUGGAGCUAUAACUGCUUUUAUGUUUUUUUGCCAUUCAUUUACUGUAUACAUUGUAUAUGUACUUCGGUAAUGGAUAAAUCAGGUAAACUGAUUUCUAUUUUCAAUUACAUAUUUUAGUACAUUUUUGUUAAUCAUGCCACUAGAGAGUGUCAAAAUGUCACAUGUUGGUUGGACAGUCAACAGUACUGCAAGGUUAGUUUUUGAUACUGAAGAGUUAAAAUAGUGGGGCCAAUUGCUCAUUUCAUUAAAAUGACAAAAGUAACUGCAGUCAGAUAUGCAAUACGGAUUAACCAGGUAAUUUGUAAAGUGGACAAAAAAUAGUGUCUUUAAAGUUAAGCAAUACAAGAUCUGAGAAGGUAUGUUAAAGGAUGCAAGAUUGUUAUUGUUUUUGUUUGGCACUGCUAUGUGUUGAGCAGAUGCAGAGAACACCAAUGUUUCUACAUCCAGUAUUCUUAUUCAUAAAAAGGAUUCCAUCAGCCUAUCACAAUAUUACCAAACUGCUUGUUUAUUGGGUAAAAAGCCCAGAACCCCUUUCUUAAAUAGCUAGAAGUUUAAACUUUCCAUAUCCCCAUAUUAUUACAUCAAGGUGAACAUGACUUGUUUGUAUUUUAUAGAGCUACAUUUCGAAUGGUGAUGCGGUAUUUUAUUUUUUCUUAGAAAACUAGAGCUCUAAUUGUGCUUUAAACUGACAUCAGAAACCUUCUUUUUUACAAUUGCUCCAAGCUCUUCUGCAUGCCCGAUUCUGCACAAAGCAGAUGGCAGUAGACUUGUCUGUUCUAUGGUGUAGAGUGAAGCCUGACACCUUGAGAGCAAUAGCAAAUUCUUAUAAUAUUACAAAGUGACGGUACCAAGCUACAGCCCAAACUCAUACCUCACCUCUUUCAUUGAUUCUUUCUUUUGUCACUGUAUGUUUCAUUGUACAUCCCUUUUUUAAUUUAUUACACGUUACCAUUACCACCCUAAUACCAGUACAAAGUGUAUCCAUACACCAUCUGAUUUAGGGCAGUGCCUUUCCUGUGGAAUGGCUCUCUUUCAGCCACAUAUAUUUUUAUUUACCUUAUUUCUGCUCUAGUUUGUUUUUAAUUUUAAAUUGUCUUUCAAUAUCUUAAUAUACUCCUGUUGUAAAAACUAGUGCUAAAAUAAGCUAAAUGCUGAUUUCUGUUUUCCAUAUUAUCCUGCCAUUGUUGCAGUGCUUGUGUGCUAAUAGCUCUUUCAACAUUACAAGCCUAGAACAAUGGUGCUAGAGUACUCCAUUAUAUGACAUUAUGGUUUACAUUCUCCAGGCAGUGCUUAAUUAAUGAUGAUUAAAAUUACCAAUAAAUAGAACUUUUUGGAUUAUAACACAUAGUUUUAUCAUUUUCAAUCAACAAGACUUAAUAAAAGCAUAACAUAAAGAAAACAAUGUCAACUUGAGCCACAGAUUGUGGAAUUCGGCUUAGUUACUUGUAAUUUUGCAAAAAAGAACCAAAUAAUUAGCUGCCUACAUGUAAAUCUGAUCAUGUAUGAUAAAGCUGACUUAU